AGUAACAUAUGGCCUCAUCUUGUUUCCUUAACACAUUUAUUGUCAAGGUUGAAGUGGAAGCUUGUUGUUCUUCCCACUUAAGGGACCAUAAGGAAGCUUUGUUGAGACAAAUGUUAGAUAUUCUAUCCCUGAUCUGCUGUCAGUCCCAGUGAACAGCUCCUUUGUUAAUGUCCUCAGAGAAAACCUUGCAUGAUACGUGGGCAUGCUCAUCUCUUGCUCUAGAAAAUGAUAUUUCAGGUUGUUCCAUCUUUAUCUGCCCAAGGGCAACUGCAAGCAAUGAUGAGAAAUUCCCAAGAACAAAUGAUAUGGAAAGAGGCAAUAAGAAAAAAUUUAUUGAGUCUCUUCUGUAGACUGAAGUGCCUGGGGGACAACUCACAAGCCCGAAGGGUUGAGAAGAUGACUGCUUCCAGAAGUGGCAUCCAGUUUGCCUGGCAGACUCCCCAGCAAUAAGGUAUUACCCCUUUUUAGAUACCACCGAAAAAGGGGAAAGCCAUAUGAAUCCAGAGCUUCUCCUGAUGAUCGCACCUGCCCCAUGACAAGAUACCAGAACGACGAUGGUGGUGAUAGAAGAACUGUCAUCAGCAUUGCUGCCCUGGGGACAAAGUCAUCACAUACACACUAGUGCUUAUAUUUCUAUUUCAGUUGGCCAUGACAAGCUACCUAGUAAUAAUAGGAGAAAUAGUCUACUUAUCAUGAAUUAUGAGGAUGUCCUAUGAUUCCAUAACCUCUAAAUGGGGCUCUCUCUCUCUCUCUCUGUUGUUUUGUGACCAGAGUGAAGAAGUCAGUAGUGUGCUUAAUGAGUUUUGUGAGGACACGUACCUCCCUUGAACACGAGGACAAAAGCCUAGAAGGUUCCAAGGCUGCCAGGUGCUCACAGCCUGCAGGGAACAGCUGGUUCAGACCUAGUCCCCAUGUCUGCCAGCCUCCCAGACCUGCUGGCCUCGUGGAUUGACCAGUCAUGGGUCCAGCCUGGGGGUCCAGCCCGCUGAGCACCCAGCGAUGUGGUCUGAUCAGUGGUGUGCUGAGGGGAGAGGUCGUUCUCAUAUGGAGCUGCCAAAGGGGAGCCCUGGAGGCCGAAUGAGCCCUGGAGGCCGAAUGAUAACUCCCUGAGGAUUUAUUGCAUCAACAAGGACAGAAUGACAGCUCCAGUCCAAGCCCUGCCCCUUGGAGGAUGUGUGUCCUUGGGAAAGUCACUGUGAAUGGGAAUAAUAAUGCUCACUCUGGAGACAUCCUCCACCAUGGGCCUGGGAUGGGUCAAGUUUAUUCCUUUGUAAAUAAAUAUUUUUUGUGAACUCACAUACAAUGUGAUUCGUUAACCAUUUGUUCCUUAUAAUAAUGUACAAACAUGGUUAUAACAACCACAUUUGAUACAUCAGCAAUUUGGAAUCUUAAAACUUUUCAUUUGCUCAAAGUAAUGUAAGUAAUGAAGCCUUGAUUCAAACUCAACUCUA